GGUGCGCAUAUCCAUUUUCCAACUUGGAAUUUUGACAUGUAGUCAACCUGCGCACAUGUCCUAUUUGGGACAUUUGUAAAGCUGGCCAAUGUAUUUUACCCCCACCAAACCAUAUAUUUUUGGAAAGUAGACACCCUAGGGUAUUUCAAAUGGUGGUAUUUUAACACUUUCCAUGCACUAAUUCUACCACCAGACUUUGUCAA